rnacentral:lncRNA from 1 species
UUCUAUUUCCGCUGCACUCAGUUCAUGACUGAGGACUUUCCUCACUAGGAAUUUCCUUAGUGAUGAAAUUAUAAAAAUCGCCUAUUCACCCCCCUCUAGUCGAUAUAACGCACUUUCAGAUCCCGCUAGUAAUUUCGCAGGAACUUGAUAGAUCAAAGUGGGGAAAUCGAGAGAGAAAUCAAGUGUAUCGACUAAGCAUGGGAGCCAUCUUAUCUAUUAAGCAAAUAAGAGUA